CAUGCAUUUACAUGACUAUUUAUUAACACAUUUACUAAGGGACAGUACUACAGGGUAUUAGAAUGACAUUACAUUUUUCUGUGUUAGGGAGGAGUAAACCACCAGCAACACUCUCAAAACCAGACCGGCCUGAUGAAUAUAGUGCUACUGCAUCUCCACGGCCAGUGAGGGUUCCUUUGCCAGUACCUCCAGAGUUGCUUGAAUUAUCUACAAACAAGACCACAUCGCCUUUGAGACCAGUGCAGGAAACUGUGUUCUGUCAGUCCCUCCUCCCAGUGACCUCUGCACAGUCUACAGCCUCUACUCCUCCCUCAGGACCCCCCGCAGUUGCUGGCCAGUCUUUUUCUGGACUCCCUGCAGCCUCUACUGGGUACCCCUCAACUCAGUUGGAGGAGAAGCAUGCUGUUCCACCACUGCCAAGCUAUGAGCAGGAUGUGAUAAGAUGGCACUGCUCUCAAAAGCAGAGAAUCUGGAUGAAAACAGAUAUGGAAGCCUUGGGACUGUGGCCAGGUUCUAGACCAGUGAGACAUCCAAUGAACAUGAUCUCCUUGUGGCGUUACCCACCUCAGCCUGAGCUUAUUGAUGCUGUCUAUGAGCUGCCAUCACCGAAAUACUUUCAACUUCAUCCAUUCUUCAUUUGGAAACCAGAGCACACCAUUAUGGAAAGAGUCCGCAACAACUACACUCUGCCAUGUCUGUACGGCUGUCCAAAUCCCCACGUUGUCUCAUCAGGAGUUGGACGACCCCGUGUCAUUAUUGGUACAAGCAGCCAGUACUACAUACUGGCCUCUCGGCUCAGCUGUAAAGGCUGUAAAAAGUACUGGUUUGCAGACAAACCCCAAUGGAUGGACAUGCUGCCAAGUCGGUUCUGCAACAUUUUGCCAGCUUUUCUGACACACAAGAAGGCCAUAUGUAAGACUGUAAUGGAUGAGUUGCGGCACACAGCAAAGUCUCCCAAUGAUAUGGCCAAUCAGUUGAAUGAAGCUCUCCACCUGAAGUAUGAGCGUGCACACCUGGCUUACCUGUCCACUGUUAAGAAUGUGCUGGAUGGAGACGGUGGACUUUAUGGUCAGCAGACCAUCACAGGGGCACUAAGAGCAACAAAUACUCACACACACACACACACACACACACAAACAAACAAUAUUUAUUGUGGUUGCUAUAUCCAUCUUUUUCUAAAAGCACACCCAUAUGUAUGUGAACUCAGGUUAUUGCUGUAAAAGAGCUUAAUGUUCAGUCAAUUUUCCCUGAAUAAACAACAGUUGAUAUUUAUAAAUAUUCCA
rnacentral:lncRNA from 1 species